rnacentral:rRNA from 1 species
AUGGGGUUAUUAAAACUUUUUAAUAUCUAAAUAUCACGAAGCAUAUAGAGCUAAAUUGAAGAUCUUUAGCAUUUCGUUAACUGUGUAGCAAAAUAGUAAUACUACUUUAAUUUAGUGGUGAAAGGCUUUUCAAGUUAUGCGAUAUCUUGUUGCAAAAGAAAAAUAUAUAGUAUUAUUUUGUCAUCUGUUUAAAGCUAAGUUUGGGCAGACACAUAUUAAUAGAUAAAAUAAUUUAUUAUAGUUUAAUCGCUUAUCAAUAGAAAUCUUAAUAUUGUUUUCUUUUCUAAAUGUUAUGUAUUUUGUAAUAAUAAUGUUAAUAAAAAUAUAUAAUGUAACUAUUAGUAGUAUUUAAUACCAUUUUAAGGAACUCGGCAAUUUAUUGCUCGACUGUUUAUCAAAAACAUAAUUGUAUGUUAACAUAUACAACUUUUUCUGCUCCAUGGGACACUAAAUAGCCGCAGUACCCUGACUGUGCAAAGGUAGCAUAAUCAUUUGACUUAUAAUUGAUGUCUGGUAUGAAUGAACGCACGGGUAAUAGCUGUCUUAAUAUGGUUAUUUGAAUUUAUUUAUCAGGUGCAAAUACCUGAAAUAUUAAAUUAGACGAGAAGACCCUAGAAGCUUUGAAUUUUGUUGGGGCGACAGAAUCACACAAAACUGAUUUUAUAAUACAUGCCGCGUGGAUGAUAGAUUAAGCUACUCUAGGGAUAACAGCAUAAUUUUUAAUAGUUUGUGACCUCGAUGUUGGACUAGGUAAAAUAAUUUUUAGAAGGCAUUAUUUUUUGCUCUGUUCGAGCAAUAUCACCUACAUGAUCUG